rnacentral:lncRNA from 1 species
GCUCGCUUACAAGUGCCAGCGCUUGCGCGCACGCCCUGGAGCGGCUACUCUUGCCCUCUCAUUUCCCCCACCUCCCCGCCCUAGAACGCGGGCUUGAGAGGUGGGAUGGCUGGGGGAGCGAGAGCGGAGGCCCAGGGCUUCCUCCCUUCUUCAAGGAGAGGCUGACGAAGGGGCAUGAGGCAUCGAACAGGGACACGGAAAGAGAUGACCCCUCCAGCAUCCGCCUGUCGGGCGGUCCAGUUUGACAACCCUCGCCGAAGCACCCCGCGCCCCAGGCCAACUUCCUCUCUUGCCUCCGCGCCAGCAUCUCCCUCCGCACCGCCCCCCGCCCCAAACUCCCUCAUUCCUGGGAAGUUUUCUCUCUUUACAGUCAACAAACCUGUCAAACGUCUCCCUUCCAGCCCGUCCCCCAUUCCUCAGCUCCUCUUUCUCCCCCCUCACCCCUCUCUACUCUUCUUCCCAGCCCUUCCUUGCCCCCGACUCCAGGCGGCCGCGAGCGGCGGGGGGCUCCAAGUCCGAGAGAGGCGAGGCGAGGGGGCGAAGCGGGCG